UACGGGGGGGGCAAGCGUUGUUCGGAAUUACUGGGCGUAAAGGGCUCGUAGGCGGCCCUCUCAGUCGGAUGUGAAAUCCCCAGGCUUAACCUGGGAACGGCAUCCGAUACUGGAGGGCUUGAAUUCGGGAGAGGGAUGCAGAAUUCCAGGUGUAGCGGUGAAAUGCGCAGAUAUCAGGAGGAACACCAAUUGCGAAGGCAGCUCGCUGGGACGUUACUGACGCUGAGACGCGAAAGCGUGGGGAGCAAACAGG
rnacentral:rRNA from 1 species